UUCGGAUCGCAGGCUGCAACCCGCCUGCGUGAAGUCGGAAUCGCUAGUAAUCGCGGAUCAGCAUGCCGCGGUGAAUACGUUCCCGGGCCUUGUACACACCGCCCGUCACACCAUGAGAGUCGGGAACACCCGAAGCCCGUAGCCUAACUUUAACGAGAGGGCGCGGUCGAAGGUGGGUUCGAUAAUUGGGGUGAAGUCGUAACAAGGUACC
rnacentral:rRNA from 1 species